CCUACGGGUGGCUGCAGUGGGGAAUAUUGGACAAUGGGCGAAAGCCUGAUCCAGCCAUGCCGCGUGUGUGAAGAAGGCCUUCGGGUUGUAAAGCACUUUCAGUGGGGAAGAAAGCCUUGGGGCUAAUACCCUCGAGGAAGGACAUCACCCACAGAAGAAGCACCGGCUAACUCCGUGCCAGCAGCCGCGGUAAUACGGAGGGUGCGAGCGUUAAUCGGAAUUACUGGGCGUAAAGCGCGCGUAGGCGGUCUGAUAAGCCGGGUGUGAAAGCCCCGGGCUCAACCUGGGAACGGCAUCCGGAACUGUCAGGCUAGAGUGCAGGAGAGGAAGGUAGAAUUCCCGGUGUAGCGGUGAAAUGCGUAGAGAUCGGGAGGAAUACCAGUGGCGAAGGCGGCCUUCUGGACUGACACUGACGCUGAGGUGCGAAAGCGUGGGUAGCAAACAGGAUUAGAUACCCGAGUAGUC
rnacentral:rRNA from 1 species